ensembl:lncRNA
GGUGUGAGGGUGUGUACAUCUAGCCUGAUGUGGGUGUGUACAUCUAGCCUGAUGUGGGUGUGAGGGUGUAUACAUCUAGCCUGGUGAGGGUGUGUACAUCUAGUCUGAUGUGGGUGUGAGGGUGUGUACAUCUAGCCUGAUGUGGGGGUAUACAUCUAGCCUGAUGUGGGUGUGUACAUCUAGCCUGAUGUGGGUGUAUACAUCUAGCCUGAUGUGGGUGUGAGGGUGUAUACAUCUAGCCUGAUGUGGGUGUGAGGGGGUAUACAUCUAGCCUGAUGUGGGUGUGAGGGGGUAUACAUCUAGCCUGAUGUGGGUGUGAGGGG